AUGAGGUGAUAAGUAACAAUCAGCAUGGAUUUGUCAAGAACAAAUCGUGUCAAAUCAACCUAAUAGCUUUCUUUGAUAGGGGUAACAAAUCUUGUGGAUGGAGGAAAAUGGUAGAUGUGGAAUAUCUUGCCUUUAGUAAGGCUUUUGAUAUUGUCUCACAUGACCUUCUCAUAAACAAACUAGGGAAAUACAGCCUAGAUGGAGCUACUAUAAGAGCUGCAAGUGUUGA